AUACUUAACGUGGCAGGGGAGAUACCAUGAUCAGGAAGGUGGUUUUCCCAGGGCGAGGCUUAUCCAUUGCACUCGGGAUGUGCUGACCCCUGCGAUUUCCCCAAAUGUGGGAAACUCGACUGCAUAAUUUGUGGUAGUGGGGGACUACAUUCACGCUUUCCCCGG
rnacentral:snRNA from 1 species